AUUGGUUUUAGCUUACGAAUACUUUUGUUGCACAUAUUUCUUCAUUUUCUUGUAUGGGAUGCCAAAUGUGCUGCUGAAUCUGCAGAAUGGUGCUUCUCCAUGUGCUUUAGUAAACCUCAAUUGUUUCACAGAAUACAUGUAAAAAGUGACCCUGGUUUCCACAACUAUACUUCACAGUGAUUCACUACCGUCUGGUGAAAUCCCACACUAGAAGAAGCUGAGACUGCAUGAAAAUCUGGAGACCAAAAUCUGUGCCACAGUGACCAGAAGGGUCGGGAGCUCAUGCCCUGAAAAAAAUCCUUUCGCCAUUGAAGGUGUGCAGCCAGACUGAAGCACUGACCUUCAGGAAGAGGUGAAUUUCAUCAGGAUCUCUUCAUAAUCUGAGAUUUAAGUAUAGAAUCCUCAAUUUGAACAAAUACAGAUGAGAUGAGAGUUUUUUGAGGCAGCUCUCUGUCCUUACAGAAUGCCACUGACAAAAUCUCUUUGAAUCAUUGCAACAGUUAUGACAGCAGCUAGGCCACUUGGACACAAAGAAGCAAGCGAGACAUUUCAGCGGAUAAAUAGGAGCAGUAGCCAUCAGCAGAUAUGUCACCACUGCUUGUGCAAGUAACUGGAACUGAUAUCCUCUGUCCAACGAUGGCUGAUAGAGUGGCAGACUGGGUUCUGAAGGAAAGACGAUGCUCUCAGGACAGAUGUGGGAGUACCUGGCCCAGGGACAUCAUCACAGGUUCCUGCCCAGAAGUUUUGCAAAGUGUGGAGGUGAGUGCUGUUAGGAGUUCUGCCUCCCUAGUGGUAAUGAGGGAUAAGCAUGUUAAAACAUGUUAGCACAGCAGGCAAAGGGAUGUGUGAUAUGAUUGCAGUUCUAAAAUGAAAUUAGUGGUGUGAAGGG
rnacentral:lncRNA from 1 species